AAGGCAACAAGGGGUUGUGAGCCCACCUGGAGUUGAGGCCUGUUCUUGUGGAACUGAAUGUAACUAGGCAGGGCUGCAGCUCUGACCUAGGGUGGUAUGUCAU
rnacentral:lncRNA from 1 species